AUGGCUGUCUCGACGACAGUGCUGUCACUGGUGCUCGUCGUGUGCUUCUGCUGCCAUGUCGUCGUCCCUUCGCUAGCCUCCUCCUCCGAGGAGAACUUCCUUCAAUGCCUGUCGGAGAAGAUACCUGGCGAGCUCCUGUUCACGCAGAGCUCGAGCGGCUUCAUGUCCGUGCUGACGUCCUCCGUCCAGAACGCCAGGUUCGCGACCAACGCCACGGUGCGGCCGGCGUGCAUCGUCACGGCGUCCGACGUCGCCCACGUCCAGGACGCCGUGCGGUGCGGCCGCUGGCACGGAGUGCGCCUCCGCGUGCGCAGCGGCGGGCACGACUACGAGGGCCUGUCGUACCGGUCCGUGCGCGCCGAGGUGUUCGCGGUGCUGGACCUCGCGAGGCUGCGCGCCGUGCGCGUCCGUCCGGGGGAGAAGGACGAGGAGGCCUCCGCGUGGGUGGACUCCGGCGCGACGCUGGGCGAGCUCUACUACGCCGUGGGCAUGGCCAGCCCCACGCUGGCGUUCCCGGGCGGCGCGUGCCCGACGGUCGGCGUCGGAGGGUUCCUGAGCGGAGGCGGCAUCGGCCUGAUGAUGCGCAAGUUCGGCACCGGCGCGGACAACGUCCUCGACGCCAGGAUCGUCAACGCCGACGGCGACGUCCUCGACAAGGCGGCCAUGGGGGAGGAUCUCUUCUGGGCCAUCCGGGGCGGAGGCGGCGAGAGCUUCGGCGUGGUGGUGUCGUGGAAGCUGAAGCUCUCCGUCGUCCCUCGGACGGUGACGGUGGUGAACACCGUCAGGGCCUUCGACGAGACCACCGCCGCCGUGCUCGCCAAAUGGGAGACGUUCGCGGUGAGGCCGUUCCUCCCGGACCUCACCAUCCGCGCCGUGGUGCAGGGCAACAACACCGUCUUCCAGACCUUCUUCCUCGGCAGCUGCUCGCGGCUGGUGGGCAAGAUGGACGCCUUCUUCCCGGAGCUGGGCACGAGGGAGGGCGACUGCAGGGAGAUGAGCUGGGUUCGCGCCAUGGCGUUCAUCACCCUGAGCAGCUCCGACGUCAACGUGCCCCUGGAGGGGAUGCUGAAGCGGACCAACAACCUGGGCACGUACGUGAAGAACAAGUCGGACUACGUGCGGUGCGCCGUGGGCAAGGCAGGAUGGGAAAGAAUCUACCGGGAGCACCUGUCGCGGAACGGCGCCCUAAUGAUGAUCAUGGAGCCGCAUGGCGGCGUGGUCGGCAGCGUCAUCCCGGACUCCUUCACGCCGUACCCGCACCGCAACGGCGUGCUCUACAACAUCCAAUACGUGGCCUUCUGGUGGGCGGACGGCGGCGCCGCGGAGGCGGCCAACGGGUGGAUCAACGGGCUGUACGGGUUCAUGGAGCCGCUGGUGAGCAGCAACCCGAGGGAGGCCUUUGUCAACUACCGCGACCUGGACAUCGGGCAGAACACGGUGGGCAACGACGGCGUGACGACGUACGAGAGCGGGAAGGUGUGGGGUGAGAAGUACUUCAUGGGGAACUUCCACCGGCUGGCGACGGUGAAGGGGCAGGUGGAUCCCGGCGACUACUUCAGAAACGAGCAGAGCAUCCCGCCGUUCCGAGCCGCCUAG
rnacentral:rRNA from 1 species